rnacentral:rRNA from 1 species
UACGAAGGGGGCGAGCGUUGUUCGGAAUUAUUGGGCGUAAAGGGUGCGUAGGCGGUCUGAUAAGUCAUCUGUGAAAUCUAUGGGCUCAACCCAUAGUCUGCAGGCGAAACUGUCGGGCUUGAGUAUGGGAGAGGUGAGUGGAAUUUCCGGUGUAGCGGUGAAAUGCGUAGAUAUCGGAAGGAACACCUGUGGCGAAAGCGGCUCACUGGACCAUUACUGACGCUGAUGCACGAAAGCUAGGGGAGCAAACAGG